GUCCACGCCGUAAACGAUGAGUGCUAGGCGUUGGGGGUAUUGACCCCUCCAGUGCCGCAGCUAACGCGAUAAGCACUCCGCCUGGGGAGUACGGCCGCAAGGCUAAAACUCAAAGGAAUUGACGGGGGCCCCGCACAAGCGGUGGAGCAUGUGGUUUAAUUCGACGCAACGCGAAGAACCUUACCUGGGUUAAAUCCACCCGAAGUCCGCAGAGAUGUGGAUGUGCCCUUCGGGGAAUGGGUGAGACGGUGCUGCAUGGCUGUCGU
rnacentral:rRNA from 1 species